UACGUCAGCGCGAGAUGCUGAAGUGGAAGGAAAUCGCACUCUCAAGGACGCGAUUUCCUUCCACGUCAGCAUCUCGCGCUGACGUGG
rfam:Gossypium raimondii chromosome 6, whole genome shotgun sequence.